rnacentral:rRNA from 1 species
GACGAACGCUGGCGGCGUGCCUAAUACAUGCAAGUUGAGCGCUGAAGGUUGGUACUUGUACCGACUGGAUGAGCAGCGAACGGGUGAGUAACGCGUGGGGAAUCUGCCCUUGAGCGGGGGACAACAUUUGGAAACGAAUGCUAAUACCGCAUAAAAACUUUAAACACAAGUUUUAAGUUUGAAAGAUGCAAUUGCAUCACUCAAAGAUGAUCCCGCGUUGUAUUAGCUAGUUGGUGAGGUAAAGGCUCACCAAGGCGAUGAUACAUAGCCGACCUGAGAGGGUGAUCGGCCACAUUGGGACUGAGACACGGCCCAAACUCCUGCGGGAGGCAGCAGUAGGGAAUCUUCGGCAGUGGACGAAAGUCUGACCGAGCAACGCCGCGUGAGUGAAGAAGGUUUUCGGAUCGUAAAACUCUGUUGGUAGAGAAGAACGUUGGUGAGAGUGGAAAGCUCAUCAAGUGACGGUAACUACCCAGAAAGGGACGGCUAACUACGUGCCAGCAGCCGCGGUAAUACGUAGGUCCCGAGCGUUGUCCGGAUUUAUUGGGCGUAAAGCGAGCGCAGGUGGUUUAUUAAGUCUGGUGUAAAAGGCAGUGGCUCAACCAUUGUAUGCAUUGGAAACUGGUAGACUUGAGUGCAGGAGAGGAGAGUGGAAUUCCAUGUGUAGCGGUGAAAUGCGUAGAUAUAUGGAGGAACACCGGUGGCGAAAGCGGCUCUCUGGCCUGUAACUGACACUGAGGCUCGAAAGCGUGGGGAGCAAACAGGAUUAGAUACCCUGGUAGUCCACGCCGUAAACGAUGAGUGCUAGAUGUAGGGAGCUAUAAGUUCUCUGUAUCGCAGCUAACGCAAUAAGCACUCCGCCUGGGGAGUACGACCGCAAGGUUGAAACUCAAAGGAAUUGACGGGGGCCCGCACAAGCGGUGGAGCAUGUGGUUUAAUUCGAAGCAACGCGAAGAACCCUACCAGGUCUUGACAUACUCGUGCUAUUCCUAGAGAUAGGAAGUUCCCUCGGGACACGGGAUACAGGUGGUGCAUGGUUGUCGUCAGCUCGUGUCGUGAGAUGUAGGGUUAAGUCCCGCAACGAGCGCAACCCCUAUUGUUAGUUGCCAUCAUUAAGUUGGGCACUCUAACGAGACUGCCGGUGAUAAACCGGAGGAAGGUGGGGAUGACGUCAAAUCAUCAUGCCCCUUAUGACCUGGGCUACACACGUGCUACAAUGGAUGGUACAACGAGUCGCGAGACAGUGAUGUUUAGCUAAUCUCUUAAAACCAUUCUCAGUUCGGAUUGUAGGCUGCAACUCGCCUACAUGAAGUCGGAAUCGCUAGUAAUCGCGGAUCAGCACGCCGCGGUGAAUACGUUCCCGGGCCUUGUACACACCGCCCGUCACACCACGGGAGUUGGGAGUACCCGAAGUAGGUUGCCUAACCGCAAGGAGAGCGCUUCCUAAGGUAAGACCGAUGACUGGGGUGAAGUCGUAACAAGGUAGCCGUAUCGGAAGG